UACGUAGGGGGCAAGCGUUGUCCGGAAUUAUUGGGCGUAAAGAGCGUGUAGGCGGUCCGGUAAGUCCGCUGUGAAAGUCCAGGGCUCAACCCUGGAAUGCCGGUGGAUACUGCCGGGCUAGAGUACGGAAGAGGCGAGUGGAAUUCCCGGUGUAGCGGUGAAAUGCGCAGAUAUCGGGAGGAACACCAAUUGCGAAGGCAGCUCGCUGGGACGUCACUGACGCUGAGACGCGAAAGCGUGGGGAGCAAACAGG
rnacentral:rRNA from 1 species